GCAAAACUCAGCGUGCUUAAAGUAUUUUUGAGUCGUAUUUGAGCACACUUGUGGGUGUUACCGAGAGAGAGAAAAUGAUAAAGGUAGCUGACAAGUGCUUUCUUAAAAGGCUGGAAAAAGCAGACUCUAUUCAAUACUGUGAACCUUAAAAAAUGGAAGAGGCCCAGUGUUCUCUCAACUUCGAAGAAGCCCUCAGUCUAAGCCCUCAGCAACCUUCAUCCAAAGGAAACCAAAGCUGGAAAAAUAUCUGUGAAAAUUCCCAGUCAUCCAGAACAGGCACUGAAAGCCGCUAAUGAAGAUAAGAGACGGCUAUCAAUGCAGGAAAUGCAGUUCUGAACCUAAACACACACAGGCAGACACUCCCAUGAAAGAAGAAUUAAAACUGAACAAGAAGGAUGACAGAAACAGAGGAGAACAGCUUGGUUUUCUGCCCCAUCCUAAAAGCCGUGAUCAAAAGGCUUCAGUACAGUGGGGUCUUGACUUGAG